GUAGAGCACUCCUACGGGAGGCAGCAGUGGGGAAUAUUGCACAAUGGGCGCAAGCCUGAUGCAGCCAUGCCGCGUGUAUGAAGAAGGCCUUCGGGUUGUAAAGUACUUUCAGCAGUGAGGAAGGUGGGUAUGUUAAUAGCAUAUUCAUUUGACGUUAGCUGCAGAAGAAGCACCGGCUAACUCCGUGCCAGCAGCCGCGGUAAUACGGAGGGUGCGAGCGUUAAUCGGAAUUACUGGGCGUAAAGCGCAUGCAGGUGGUUUGUUAAGUCAGAUGUGAAAGCCCGGGGCUCAACCUCGGAAUUGCAUUUGAAACUGGCAAACUAGAGUACUGUAGAGGGGGUAGAAUUUCAGGUGUAGCGGUGAAAUGCGUAGAGAUCUGAAGGAAUACCGGUGGCGAAGGCGGCCCCCUGGACAGAUACUGACACUCAGAUGCGAAAGCGUGGGGAGCAAACAGGAUUAGAUACCCUGGUAG
rnacentral:rRNA from 1 species